rnacentral:rRNA from 1 species
GACGAACGCUGGCGGCGUGCCUAAUACAUGCAAGUCGAACGGUCUUUUCUAUGGAAGCUUGCUUCCACUGAGAAGAUAGUGGCGAACGGGUGAGUAACACGUGGGUAACCCGCCCAUAAGAGGGGGAUAACAUCCGGAAACGGGUGCUAAUACCGCAUAGGUUUCUUUAUCGCAUGAUCGAGCAAGGAAAGACGGCAUGUGUGCUGUCGCUUAUGGAUGGACCGGCGGCGGAUUAGUUGGUUGGUGAGGUAACGGCUCACCAAGACGAUGAUACGUAGCCGACCUGGGAGGGUGAUCGGCCACAUUGGGACUGAGACACGGCCCAAACUCCUACGGGAGGCAGCAGUAGGGAAUCUUCCGCAAUGGACGAAAGUCUGACGGAGCAACGCCGCGUGAGUGAAGAAGGUUUCGGAUCGUAAAACUCUGUUGUCAGAGAAGAACAAGUCGGAGAGUAACUGCUCCGGCCUUGACGGUAUCUGACCAGAAAGCCACGGCUAACUACGUGCCAGCCGCCGCCGUAACAC